rnacentral:tRNA from 1 species
GCGGCGAUAGUCUAGCCUGGUAGGACACGGCCUUCCCAAGGCUGUAACCCGGGUUCAAAUCCCGGUCGCCGCAC